CUGGUUUGUUCAAGUUCAAGUUUAAGUUGAUUUAGUAAAUGUUUGUUUCUGCCACCAAGUCUGGUCUCCUGCAUUUGGGUCCUCCACCACAAUCCCUGACAUGAUCACCUCAUCGGUUUUUUUUGUUGUGUGUAUUCUUCUGAUGUCCCAAAUCGAUGGCGAGCUACUCAACCUGAAUCAAGCUGGACUAUAAACAUCUCAUCAAUCUGCAAUAGAGCCCAACGGAUUAUCACCACACUCAUUGCAGUGAAAUUCUCAAGAUUCAUGAACUUGGACACUUCAAACCACCUUCAUACCCCACAAUCUUCCUCCUCAGCCUUUGUCCCUAUUUUGUAUUUGACUUAUUUUUUUAUUUUUUUCCUUCAAUACAAUCGAUUGAAAUCUU